ensembl:lncRNA
UUCACUACAAAGCAUCUUGCUGAACCAGAGCAGACCAAUGCACCCAGAAAGACCAAUGCCCAAAAGGGCAUCUCAAAAGUCCUCUGUUCACCAAGAAGUGAUUUGAGCACUUCAAAGCCUCCAAGUCAUCAUUCUACUUCCACAUUCCCAAAGUCAUUUAAGGGAAGAGAAAAAAAAGCACUCCCCAUCAUCCCUACCAAACUGAUCCCUAUCAUUGUAACAGAAGAUAAGCCAAACAAAUAAAGCAGAAAAAAAGAAAGAAGUAAUUUGGGGCAAUCAAUGUCUCAGAGCAAGAGGACUCCUCUGAUGAUUCCUCCAUAUGUGCAGAAGAGGACAAAAGAGUGGGCCCAAUAUGAACUUCCCCUGGCUCUGAGGUGACAAUGGAGUGCAUCAUUGAAGAAAAACCUUUCUCAAGGAUAUCCAAGCUGAGCAAGAAGAAGGCCUACAAAAACUGACAUUGGCAAUCUUUGUAAAACAAAAAGCGUGUGAGAGACCCUUUGAAAUGCCAAAGGAUGGGGGAAUCAUCAUUGAAGGCAAUGAUGUGUUGAAUAAUUUGACCUAAGUUGCAUCUGCUUUUACUAUCCUCUUUGGGCUAAUGUACUGUCUGAACCUCAGCUACCCUCGCAAUCUCGAAUUCACCUUCUGUCACGAUUUACCCUCGCGCUAAUGCUGGAGCAGGCGGCUCAGUUCUGUGUUUGUCAGUGACACUGACUUUGUUUACUGUCUACAUGUGCAUUUGUUAUGGUUUAUGUAGUGUCUCAGCCCCUGUAUUGUUAUUGGUUGUUUCCCAUAUGUGUCAUCAUUAGUCUCAGCUGUUUUGAGGCAGAUAAACCUGCCCUGCCGUUCACCACCUAUUAGGUAAAUAGGUGGUAUAGAGGGUGGCCCCCACACCAGAGCUCCAACCUGAGACCCACGAGGUGGUCUCACCUGCAGAGCUCCAGUCAGAGGUCAAUGUGGCAACCUCAGCUCCAGAGCCCCAGUUGGAGGUCAACAUGACUCCUCAGAGCUCCAGCACGAGACCCAUGAGGUGGUCUCAUCUCCAGAGCUCCAGCAUAAAGUCAAGUUCCUGCUAGAGGUCAAUGAGAUGGCCUCCCAAGCCAUGUUUCUGUCCAAGGUCGACGAGAUGGCCUCAAAAGUCAUGUUCCUGUCCGAGGUUGCUGACACGGACAACUAAGUCCUGCUCAUGCCCGAGUCUUGUGACACAGCCAACCGAGUUCAGCCUGCAGAGUCGAUGGAAAAUGACACUCAGUCUCUCAGCAUGACUGAGGAUGCCGCUCAGCAUCCCUAUACAGCUGAGAACGUUUCUCCGCCUCCCGUUGCAGCCUGCUUUGCUUUCCUACUCUGCUUCGAACGUCACUACAACAGGCUUCUCUGAGGACGUCGCUCUGCCAUCCUACUCUGCUGAAGACCUUGCUCUGCCAUCCUGCUCAACUGAGGAUGCCACUCAGCAUCCUUCCUCAGCUGAGGACGCUGUUCAGUCUCCCUGUUCAACUGAAGACAUUUUGCCCAGAGGGCCAGGACCGCUAGGGGAGGGAAGUGUUUUCUGGUGCUACAGGAGUAGGGCCUUUGGGGGACUUCUGUCACGAUUUCCCCUUGUGCUAGCGCUGGAGCUUGUGGUGUGUGUCCGGGUUUGUUUACUGUCUACACUAACCUCCAUUACGUGACACCUUUUAGAUGAUCCAAAAGAUGUUUAUGGGCUUAGAGGGACAGAAAAUUCUAGAAAGUUGCAGAAUCUGUAUAUUAGGUUGCUCCAAACUAACUAAGUGUUUGAGUGGGAAAACAAUCAGACCCCUUGAAUUUUUUUCCAUUGUCACUUUUUAUUUUUCAACCUUAUCACUAAAUAUUUGUUUUAAUUAUAUUUUUUUAUUUUGCAGAAAUAUUUUUUAGUUACCAGAGUUACAAAAGUUACCAAAUAAAUGAGAGAUACAUGUGACUCUCAUUGUAUUAGUCUUUUAUUUUAAAUUUAGACUAGAUUAUUGUAAUUCCUUACUGUCUGGAUGUUCCAGUAGGAGCAUAAACAAACUCCAGUUAGUCCAGAAUGCAGCUGCUGGAGUCCUAACUAGAACGAGAAGAUACGACCACAUCACCCCGAUCUUAUCCACACUGCAUUGGCUCCCAGUGAAAUCUCGCAUUGAUUAUAAAAUACUAUUAUUAACUUAUAAAGCACUAAAUGGUCUCACGCCACAGUAUCUAAGCGACGUUUUGGUUUUCUAUGAUAUCCACCAUGCCUACUUAGAUCAAAAGAUGCAGGCUAUUUGACGGUACCUCGAAUAGCGAAGGCUACAGCAGGGGGAAGAGCUUUCUCUUAUAGAGCCCCUACUGUUAUGGAACAGUCUUCCAAUUAGUGUUUGGGACUCAGACAAAGUCUCAGUGUAGACUUAGGCUUAAACCGUAUUUGUUUACUCAAGCCUACCAUGAAUAGACGUUCUGUUACACUAAGCACAGUCCUAAUAAUCUCUUCUCUCCCUCUCUCCUUCUGUCAAGCCACACACGAUUUUAUGGAGAUACUAGAGAUCCUGAUCCUUUCUGCUCUCCAGACAUGCCUGAUCUGUUUCGGAUGCCUUACAUCUGGAUGGAGCUCUCAUCUACUCCAAUUCCAGACUGCUGGGACUAUGGUUGCUUCUAAGGCCAAACAGACUUCAUAUAAAACCAUAAUGAACUUUUUACAAUAUCCGUUGCUACCCAGAUGAGGAUGGUUUCCCUUCUGAUUCUGAUUCCUCUCAAGGUUUCUUCCUCUUAACAUCUUAGGGAGUUUUCCAUUGCCACCGUCGCCACCAGCUUGCUCAGUUGGGAUAAAUUCGCACAUUUAAAAUCUGUAUACCAUGUUUAUAUGUUUCUGUAAAGCUGGUUUGAGACAAUGUCUAUUGUUAUGCAAAUAAAAUUGAAUUGAAUUGAAUUAAAGCCAAAUAUGUAUGAUGUUACUUUGAAUAGAUAUUUUUAUUUAAACUAACUUUCUUUUACCACAAUAAAUAGAUGAUAUUUUG